GUUUGUCAUUCACACUCCUUAGGCUCUGGAUCAGUGGCUAUGUAUUAGUCAUGGGAACCAAUUAUCCAAGGGUGUUUGGUUAAGAUGGUUUUAUUGGUGCUGGAGCAUGCAGAAUGACAAUGACUAAUGGUGUCCCACAUACUAUCAUUAUUUACUUCGUCCUCCCGUGUGCCAGGAUGUUUUUGCUUGAGCUGACUUGUUUCCCUUUUUGACUCUCCUUCCUGAAAAUCAUGAUACCAUCCAGUGCAGAAGAGGACGCUGGCGUGUAGAAGAAGAGAGGGAAUAAGAGCAGAAAAAGCUACCUGGAUCUCUCAGAAUGGGUUUGUUGGAUGAAUGAAGGCUGAGAAUCUCUUGCUGGUUCCUCUACAACCUGAGCCUGACCUGAUGACUGGCAGUAGUUGCUGAAUUCUACCCUCAACAGUGGUGCAAGUUUGGGCUUCUGGGCCCAUAAACCUAUAUCCCCUGACCCUCUGACCAUCUCUGACCCUCUUGUGAACCAUCUGUUAUUUCAAAAGGUAUCAUACAUUCCUUCCAAAUAAAACUUCAUUUAGCUCA
rnacentral:lncRNA from 1 species